GAGCACCGCCGCCUGCCACACUGUGAGACAGGGAAGGGAGUCUGAGGGUCUUGGUUUUCUGCCCUCACCACUGUCAGGUCGUCGAGGUAAUCGCAGGCAUCUCUGCCGUCCUCGGGGGGAUCAUUGCCCUGAACGUGGAUGACUCAGUUUCAGGCCCACACCUCUCAGUGACGUUCUUUUGGAUCCUAGUGGCCUGCUUUCCAAGUGCCAUUGCCAGUCAUGUGGCAGCAGAGUGU
rnacentral:lncRNA from 1 species